rnacentral:rRNA from 1 species
CCCUAUCCGGCGCGGGCGCAGGAUAUUUGAGAGGAGCUGCCCUUAGUACGAGAGGACCGGGGUGGACGGACCACCGGUGUACCGGCUGACGAUCAACGUCACCGCCGGGUAGCCGAGUCCGGCAGGGAUAAACGCUGAAGGCAUCUAAGCGUGAAGCCCCCCUCAAGAUGAGAUAUCCCAAGACCCCUUAGAGAGAAUGAGGUAGAUAGGACAGAGGUGGAAGUACAGUAAUGUAUGGAGCUGACUGUUACUAAUCGGUCGCAGGCUUGUCCUU